rnacentral:lncRNA from 1 species
CAGCACUGCCAGGCUGGCCAGCAUGAGCGCCACCAAGGCGAGCAUGAGUCCCAGGGGGUCGUCAAAGGCCAGGAAGGUCUCUGUCCUGGGCAGGCAGCCAUCUCUGGUGCGGCUUGAGUACUGCUCCUCUGGGCACAGAAGACAUCUCUUCGUACCUGUGGGAGACACACAUCCCUGCGUCUGCCACAGGAUCGUAAUGACACCAGCCAUGUGAAGGAAGGCUCCCUAUGCACUAAACCAGCCUUACCAGCGUUUCACACCUAUUCAUUACUGAUUGAAGGGGGCCUGCCCCUCCACACCUGUGGGUAUUUCUCGCAAGGUGGAGACAAGAGACUGAGAAAAGAAAUAAGACACAGAGACAAAGUGUAGAGAAAGAAAAGUGGGCCCAGGGGACCGGCACUCAGCAUACAGAGGACCCACACCAGCAGCAGUCUGAGUUCCCUCAGUAUUUAUUGAUCACUAUCUCUACCAUCUUGGCAAGGGGGAUGUGGCAGGACUACACGGUAAUGGUGGGGAGAGGGUCAGCAGGAAAACAUGUGAGCAAAGGACUCUGUGUCAUAAAUAAGUUUAAGGAAAGGUGCUGUGCCUGUGAUGUAACCAAGCAAGUUAUAGAGAAACGCCACACUUUGAGACUAAUUCAGGAGUCCUUUAUCAGCCGGUGACCGAGAGAUGGCUAGUGCUCAAAAUUCUCUCAGCCCCGAAGAAGGGGCUAGAUUUUCUUUUAUACUUUGGUUUAGAGGAGGGGGAACCUAGCUGUAGCAAUCUUACAGAAGUAAAGCAGGCAAAAAAAAAAGUUAAAAAGACAAAUGGUUACAGGAAAACAAACAGUUCCAGGUACAGAGGCUUUAAAUCCAUCACAAGGUGAUAGGUGCGGGGGCUCUGGGUGCUAUCUGCCAGACACAAACGCGGGGGCUUUAGGGUACUAUUACCCCAGUGAAUUCCUGGCAACUGCAGACAUAGCCUGCCACAGUACCUUAUCAGUUAAUUGCACUCUUUGAUAUGCUGAGAGUCAGCUUGCUCAAGUUAAGUCCUUGAGGAAGGGAGUGGGUAAGGAGCCCUUGAGGUCUUGCAAAUGAAGGAGCUAAAUGGAGUCCAUCCAGCUUUCUCAGCUAAGAGAGAGUAUUCAUAUUAAAACAAGGUAUGGUAUCACACCUGGAUGUGCACGUAGGCCAGAUUUAUGUUUGACUUUACCCAAACACCUCAGUGCAGUAAAGAGCAGUACUGCCACCAGCAUGUCUCACCUCCAGCCGUAAGACAGUUUUCUCCUAUCCCAGUAAAUGGAAUGUACAAUCAGGUUUUCUACCGAGACAUUCCAUUCCCAGGGAUGAGGAGCAGGAGACAGAGGCUUUCCUCUUAUCUCAAGUGCAAAGAGGCCUUCCUCUUUCACUAAUCCUCCUCAGCAUAGACCCUUUACAGGUGUCAGGCUGGGGGACGGUAAGGUCUUUCCCUUCCCACGAGGCCACAUCUCAGGCUGUCUCAGGGGGGCAAACCUUGGACAAUACCCAGGCUUUCUCAGGCAGAGGUCCCUGCGGCCUUCCGCAGUGCAUUGUGUCCCUGGGUACUCGAGACUGGAGAAUGGCGAUGACUUUUACCAAGCAUACUGCCUGCAAACACAUGUUUACCAAGGCACAUCCUGCACAGCCCUAACUCCAUUAAACCUUGAGUCAAUACAGCACGUUUCUGUGAGCACAGGGUUGGGGCUAGGGUUACAGAUUAACAACAUCUCAAGGCAGAAGAAUUUUUCUUAGUACAGAUCAAAAUGGAGUUUCUUAUGUCUUCCUUUUUCUACAUAGACACAGUAACAGUCUGAUCUCUUUCUUUCCCCCACAGAUUUAUAAUUUUGAGAUACCAGUGAUGGGAUGGGCCACAUUAGAUCCUGAGGCACAAGGAAAAAUACACGCCCCGUAUACAUGUUUGCAUGUUUUUUUAAAAUGGUUAAUUUUUUCCAAGUAGUAACAACAACUGCUCUUUUUGUUUUGUUGUUUGAGACAGGGUCUCACUCUUGACACCCAGGCUGGAAAGCAGUGGCUCGAUCACAGCUCACUGCAACCUCCACCUCCCAGGUAAAGCCAUCUUCCCCCUCAGCCUCCCAAGUAGCUGGAACUACAGGCAUGCACCACCACACCCAGCUAUUUUUUUUAUUAUUGUUUUUGUAAAGACAGGGGCCUCACCCUGUUGCCCAGGCUGGUCUUGAACUCCUGGACUCAAGCAAUCCUUCCACCUUGGCCUCUCAAAGUGCUGGGAUUACAGGUCUGAGCCACCACACUCGGCUGCACUCGGACUUUUGAACCAUAAAAACUGUGAGAUAAGAAAUGUGCUUUGUUUCAUACGCUUGUGGUAAUUUGUUAACAGCAGCUAUAGAAACUAAUGCAGGGAGCAACUGGGCAUUGCCUACACUCACAGUGGGAGUGUGAACUGGAAGCACCACCAGUGUCUGUUAAAGCCACAGGUAUGGCCUGGCAUGGUGCCUCAUGCCUAUAAUCCCUGCACUUUGGGAAGCUGAGGCAGGAGGAUUGCUUGAGCUCAGGAGUUCAAGAACAGCCUGGGAAACAUAAUGAGUCCCUGUCUCUAUAAAAAUAAUUUUUUAAAAAAUUAGCCAAGCAUGGUGGGGUGGCAUGUACGUGUAGUCCCAGCUACUCGGGAGGCUGAGGUAGGAGGAUCUCUUGAGCCCAGAUCAAGGCUGCAGUGAACCACGUUCACACCACUGCACUCCAGCCUGGGCAACAGAGUGAGACCUCUUCUCAAAUAAAAGAAAAAAAAAAGCUGCAGGUAUGUCUACCUGUGGCCCAGCAAUGCCACACCCAACAGAAAUUCACCUGUAUGUCCCCAAAAGACACAACAAUGAGACACGGCUCAUUGCAGCCGCUGAUCAGCAGGCUUCUCAAAUCCCCCAUCCCUGUUGGAGUGGAUGAAGCAGCCGUGGUGCGUCCGCACAAUGGGAUCUCACCAGUCAUUAGAACAAGAGAUCCACAACCACACAUAACCACCACUAGGAUGAAUCUCACAAACAACUGGGAGGAAAAAGCAAGACACAAAAGAACACUCACUGUGUGAUUCCACUUAUAGGACGUUUAAAAAUCAAGCAAAACCCACUGACACCAAUAGAAGUCAGGGCGGUGGAUGGGUCGCAGGGAGAAGACAAUGGCUGGGAGGGGUAUGAAAGCUUCUGGGAGGGCCAGGUUGUGCCCUGUUUCUUGAUGAGAGGACCAGGGACACGGAAUGUUUGCCAGGUGAGAAUUCAUUGGGCUGCACGCUUAUGAUCUAUGCAUUUGUCUAUAUAUUUCAAUAAAACAUUUACCUAAUAAUAAUGACCUUUAUUCAUUCUCUUUCAGCCACUGUUAAUAAUAAGUGCCGAGACCAGCUCAGUCGGGGAGACCCUAACCUAGCGGUGCUAGAGGAAUUAAAGACACACACACAGAAAUACAGGGGUGUGGAGUGGGAAAUCAGGGAUCUCACAGCCUUCAGAGCUGAGAGCCUCCAACAGAGAUUUACCCACAUAUUUAUUGACAGCAAACCAGUGAUAAGCAUUGUUUCUACAGAUUAUAGAUUAACUAUGUGUUUGGCAAAGUGUAUUCACUGGGCAGAUCCUGGAAUACUGACACACUGAAAAAUACUACAGAAAAAACUCCUGAUGGAGACUCUGAUUCAGCUUGUGUGACACUAAUAUUUUCAUUUUGGGUGGUGAGCAAAUGUCUUUCCUCACUCAGAGAAGGGCUCAGUAUCCCUAAACAGCAUAGCUGAGUUAUGACUGGCCUAAUUUAGAGCUGCACCAACUUCAUGUACCAAAUAGGGACACCGCUGGCCUCUGUGCUUCCCUCUGACUCGAAUACACCAGAACUGGGAUCAUUUCUGCACCCUGGAAACUGACCUAGAGGUCCUCCUUUGUCACAUGCACUGUCAUUCUGUCUCCCAGAGGGGCUCACGGGUUGACUAUGCCUAUGUGGACAAAGUGGAAUCAGCCCUCAGUGGUCUUCUGUCCAUAGACAACAUCAAAUUCUGUAAUUAAAUCUCCGUUGGCA